AGAGUUUGAUCCUGGCUCAGGAUGAACGCUGGCGGCGUGCUUAACACAUGCAAGUCGAACGAAGCACUUUUGAUUGAGACUUCGGUGGAUUGAGGAAGUGACUGAGUGGCGGACGGGUGAGUAACGCGUGGGCAACCUGCCUUGUACAGGGGGACAACAGUUGGAAACGACUGCUAAUACCGCAUAAGCGCACAGCUUCGCAUGAAGCAGUGUGAAAAACUCCGGUGGUACAAGAUGGGCCCGCGUUGGAUUAGCUAGUUGGUGGGGCAACGGCCUACCAAGGCGACGAUCCAUAGCCGACCUGAGAGGGUGACCGGCCACAUUGGGACUGAGACACGGCCCAAACUCCUACGGGAGGCAGCAGUGGGGAAUAUUGCACAAUGGGCGCAAGCCUGAUGCAGCGACGCCGCGUGAGCGAUGAAGUAUUUCGGUAUGUAAAGCUCUAUCAGCAGGGAAGAAAAUGACGGUACCUGACUAAGAAGCUCCGGCUAAAUACGUGCCAGCAGCCGCGGUAAUACGUAUGGAGCAAGCGUUAUCCGGAUUUACUGGGUGUAAAGGGAGCGUANACGGAUCAGCAAGUCUGAUGUGAAAGCCUGGGGCUCAACCCCGGAACUGCAUUGGAAAUUGUUGGUCUUGAGUGCCGGAGAGGUAAGCGGAAUUCCUAGUGUAGCGGUGAAAUGCGUAGAUAUUAGGAGGAACACCAGUGGCGAAGGCGGCUUACUGGACGGUAACUGACGUUGAGGCUCGAAAGCGUGGGGAGCAACAGGAUUAGAUACCCUGGUAGUCCACGCGGUAAACGAUGAAUACUAGGUGUUGGGCAGCAAAGCUGUUCGGUGCCGCAGCAAACGCAAUAAGUAUUCCACCUGGAGAGUACGUUCGCAAGAAUGAAACUCAAAGGAAUUGACGGGGACCCGCACAAGCGGUGGAGCAUGUGGUUUAAUUCGAAGCAACGCGAAGAACCUUACCAAGUCUUGACAUCUCCCUGACCGGCGCGUAAUGGUGCCUUUCCUUCGGGACAGGGAUGACAGGUGGUGCAUGGUUGUCGUCAGCUCGUGUCGUGAGAUGUUGGGUUAAGUCCCGCAACGAGCGCAACCCCUAUCUUCAGUAGCCAGCAUUUUGGAUGGGCACUCUGGAGAGACUGCCAGGGAUAACCUGGAGGAAGGUGGGGAUGACGUCAAAUCAUCAUGCCCCUUAUGACUUGGGCUACACACGUGCUACAAUGGCGUAAACAAAGGGAAGCAAUCUCGCGAGAGUGAGCAAAUCUCAAAGAUAACGUCCCAGUUCGGACUGCAGUCUGCAACUCGACUGCACGAAGCUGGAAUCGCUAGUAAUCGCGAAUCAGAAUGUCGCGGUGAAUACGUUCCCGGGGUCUUGUACACACCGCCCGUCA
rnacentral:rRNA from 1 species